GAAUAUGCUGAUAUGAAGAGUGUGUUCACUUCACAUAAAUUCAAAUGAGAACAUCUCUUAAUGUUCCAAUAUUUAGAGAUUGCUAAUCACAGAUUAGAGAUGUUCAUGAGAUUAGGAGGCUUCACAUUUAGAAUAAUCUAUGCCAUUUUACCCUAAGAUAAGGAGUGUCUUUAUGCAAAUGUCCUCCUCUGUUACAGAUUUAAGCAACAAAGACCAAGAGCUUUUACUUCUUCUGCUCCAACACACACCAUGAUCUCUACAUCCCUACUGCUGCUGCUGCUGGCAGCCGUACACUGUGUUCACAUUGUUGAGCUGAUCCAGACCGGAUCCACAGUAUUAACUCCUGGUCAGUCACUGACUCUGACCUGUAAAGUGUCUGGAUAUUCAGUAACUGACAGCAGCUACUGUACGAACUGGAUACGACAACCUGCAGGAAAAGCUCUGGCAUGGAUCGGAAGUAUAUAUGGUAGCGGUAACACUUACUUCAGUGAGAAUCUGAAAAGCAGGUUUCAGAUUUCCAGAGACACGUCCAGCAGCACAGUGACAUUAACAGGACAGAACAUGCAGACUGAAGACACAGCUGUGUAUUACUGCGCUCAUGAACCACAGUGA